rnacentral:tRNA from 1 species
GGCUUUAUAGUCAAAAUUAUGAUAUUAGACUGCAAUUCUAAAGUUGGCGUUAUUCCUAAAGCUU